CCUACGGGAGACAGCAGUGAGGAAUAUUGGUCAAUGGUCGGGAGACUGAACCAGCCAAGCCGCGUGAGGGAGGAAGGUACAGAGUAUCGUAAACCUCUUUUGUCAGGGAACAAAGACUGGGACGCGUCCCCGGAUGAGUGUACCUGAAGAAAAAGCAUCGGCUAACUCCGUGCCAGCAGCCGCGGUAAUACGGAGGAUGCGAGCGUUAUCCGGAUUUAUUGGGUUUAAAGGGUGCGCAGGCGGUCUGUUAAGUCAGCGGUCAAAGCCCGGGGCUCAACCCCGGCCCGCCGUUGAAACUGGCAGUCUCGAGUUGGAGAGAAGUAUGCGGAAUGCGCGGUGUAGCGGUGAAAGGCAUAGAUAUCGCGCAGAACUCCGAUUGCGAAGGCAGCAUGCCGGCUCCACACUGACGCUGAGGCACGAAAGCGUGGGUAUCGAACAGGAUUAGAUACCCUGGUAGUC
rnacentral:rRNA from 1 species